AACGAACGCUGGCGGCAUGCCUAACACAUGCAAGUCGAACGAAGUCCUUCGGGGCUUAGUGGCGCACGGGUGCGUAACGCGUGGGAAUCUGCCCCUUGCUUCGGAAUAACAGUUAGAAAUGACUGCUAAUACCGGAUGAUGUCGCAAGACCAAAGAUUUAUCGGCAAGGGAUGAGCCCGCGUAGGAUUAGGUAGUUGGUGGGGUAAAGGCCUACCAAGCCGACGAUCCUUAGCUGGUCUGAGAGGAUGAUCAGCCACACUGGGACUGAGACACGGCCCAGACUCCUACGGGAGGCAGCAGUGGGGAAUAUUGGACAAUGGGGGAAACCCUGAUCCAGCAAUGCCGCGUGAGUGAUGAAGGCCUUAGGGUUGUAAAGCUCUUUUACCCGGGAUGAUAAUGACAGUACCGGGAGAAUAAGCUCCGGCUAACUCCGUGCCAGCCGCCGCAGUAAGAC
rnacentral:rRNA from 1 species